ACUYAAARGAAUUGACGGGGCCCGCACAAGCGGUGGAGCAUGUGGUUUAAUUCGAUGCAACGCGAAGAACCUUACCUACUCUUGACAUCCASGGAACUUGGCAGAGAUGCUUUGGUGCCUUCGGGAACYCUGAGACAGGUGCUGCAUGGCUGUCGUCAGCUCGUGUUGUGAAAUGUUGGGUUAAGUCCCGCAACGAGCGCAACCCUUAUCCUUUGUUGCCAGCGAUUCGGUCGGGAACUCAAAGGAKACUGCCGGUGAUAAACCGGAGGAAGGUGGGGAUGACGUCAAGUCAUCAUGGCCCUUACGAGUAGGGCUACACACGUGCUACAAUGGCGCAUACAAAGAGAAGCGACCUCGCGAGAGCAAGCGGACCUCACAAAGUGCGUCGUAGUCCGGAUCGGAGUCUGCAACUCGACUCCGUGAAGUCGGAAUCGCUAGUAAUCGUGGAUCAGAAUGCCACGGUGAAUACGUUCCCGGGCCUUGUACACACCGCCCGUCACACCAUGGGAGUGGGUUGCAAAAGAAGUAGGUAGCUUAACCUUCGGGAGGGCGCUUACCACUUUGUGAUUCAUGACUGGGKUGAAGUCGUAACAAGGUAACCGUAGGGGAMCCUGCGGCUGAUCAACCUCC
rnacentral:rRNA from 1 species